rnacentral:rRNA from 1 species
GAUGAACGCUGGCGGCGUGCCUAAUACAUGCAAGUCGAGCGAACAGACAAUGAGCUUGCUCCUCUGACGUUAGCGGCUGACGGGUGGGUAACACGUGGAUCACCUACUUAUAUUUCUUGGAUAAUUUCGUAAAACCGGUUCUAAUACCGCCUAAUAUAUUGAACCGCAUGGUUCAAUAGUUAAUGACGGCUUUGCUGUCACUUUUAGCUGGUUCCGCGCCACAUUAGUUACUUGGUAAGGGAACGGCCUAACAAGGCGACGAUGCGUAGCCGACCGGGGAGGGGGAACGGCCAAACGGGAAAUGAGACAAGGGCCAGAAUCCUAAGGGAGGCAGCAGUAGGGAAUCUUCGGAAAUGGGCGGAAGCCUGACGGAGGAACGACGCGGGAGGGAUGAAAGGCUUCGGAGCGGAAAACUCUGUUAGUAGGGAAAAACAAAUGGGAAAGUAACUAUGCACGGCUUGAAGGGACCUAAUCAGAAAGCCACGGCUAACUACGUG